rnacentral:rRNA from 1 species
UACGAAGGGGGCUAGCGUUGCUCGGAAUCACUGGGCGUAAAGGGUGCGUAGGCGGGUCUGUAAGUCAGGGGUGAAAUCCUGGAGCUCAACUCCAGAACUGCCUUUGAUACUGAGGAUCUUGAGUACGGGAGAGGUGAGUGGAACUGCGAGUGUAGAGGUGAAAUUCGUAGAUAUUCGCAAGAACACCAGUGGCGAAGGCGGCUCACUGGCCCGUUACUGACGCUGAGGCACGAAAGCGUGGGGAGCAAACAGG